CCUACGGGAGGCAGCAGUGGGGAAUAUUGGACAAUGGGGGCAACCCUGAUCCAGCAAUGCCGCGUGUGUGAUGAAGGCCUUAGGGUUGUAAAGCACUUUCACUGGUGAAGAUGAUGACGGUAACCAGAGAAGAAGCCCCGGCUAACUUCGUGCCAGCAGCCGCGGUAAUACGAAGGGGGCGAGCGUUGUUCGGAAUUACUGGGCGUAAAGGGCGCGUAGGCGGUCUUUUAAGUUAGGCGUGAAAGCCCCGGGCUCAACCUGGGAACUGCGCUUAAAACUGGAAGACUAGAAAACGGAAGAGGGUAGUGGAAUUCCCAGUGUAGAGGUGAAAUUCGUAGAUAUUGGGAAGAACACCAGUGGCGAAAGCGGCUACCUGGUCCGAUUUUGACGCUGAGGCGCGAAAGCGUGGGGAGCAAACAGGAUUAGAUACCCUGGUAGUCCACGCCGUAAACGAUGUCUGCUAGAUGUCGGGGGGUUGCCCCUCGGUGUCGCCGCUAACGCAUUAAGCAGACCGCCUGGGAAGUACGGUCGCAAGAUUAAAACUCAAAGGAAUUGACGG
rnacentral:rRNA from 1 species